CCUACGGGAGGCAGCAGUGGGGAAUAUUGGACAAUGGACCAAAAGUCUGAUCCAGCAAUUCUGUGUGCACGAUGACGUUUUUCGGAAUGUAAAGUGCUUUCAGUUGGGAAGAAAAAAAUGACGGUACCAACAGAAGAAGUGACGGCUAAAUACGUGCCAGCAGCCGCGGUAAUACGUAUGUCACAAGCGUUAUCCGGAUUUAUUGGGCGUAAAGCGCGUCUAGGUGGUUAUGUAAGUCUGAUGUGAAAAUGCAGGGCUCAACUCUGUAUUGCGUUGGAAACUGCAUGACUAGAGUACUGGAGAGGUAAGCGGAACUACAAGUGUAGAGGUGAAAUUCGUAGAUAUUUGUAGGAAUGCCGAUGGGGAAGCCAGCUUACUGGACAGAUACUGACGCUAAAGCGCGAAAGCGUGGGUAGCAAACAGGAUUAGAUACCCUGGUAGUC
rnacentral:rRNA from 1 species